CUGAGGGCAGGCGGCGCACCCCUGCCCCUUGCGGAGGGUUCCUGAGGGGAGCGCCCCCCCCACACACACGCAGCCGCUCGCCGUGCCCGCAGUCCCGCGGCACGCCCCGGGCGCGGUCCCGACCGCUUCCGCUGCCCUUGAGGAGAAGCCUGAGGAGGGGUGACGGGGGAGCUGUGCCACCUCCCUCCCUCCCGCCCGCCCGCCCGCCCGCCCGCUGCCCCCAGCCGCGGUAGCGCCGGCACAGGCUUGGAUUUGGGGAGCUGUUGCUGCCGCUGUAUUCAGAUCUGUCACAUUGAUGUCAUAUACAUAACAGCUUGGCAGCAGCUCUUCGGGCUCAUGUCAGAACAGUCCUCACCUCUGCUGAAAGCAUGCUGAAUUCACAUUCACUGGAUGGCAGGAACCGCAUCUAGAGAAACAGAUCAAGUUGGAAGUCAAAGUGAACAUAGGUGUUGCAAAAACAACUCGACUGGUUAUGGCUGCAAGUUCCUGUUUGUUGUUUCCCAUGGACAAAAGACGUAGCCCAGGGCUGUGUAAUCUUGACAGCUAACAGUAAGUUUGAAAAUGUACUGUGGCAUUACCAUAUAUUGUGUUUGUUGCACUACGUUUUAUAAGUAAACUAUUUAGUGUAUUAUAGGAAGAGACCAGCACUUCAUUUU